AAUAAAUACAGUUUUACACUAUUUAUAUCUAACGUUUGACUGUUCAUCUUAUUUAAACUUUUUUUACGAGUAGUAUUGUUAUUGUUAUUAGAUGAUAAAACAUGAAUAGUACUUUAUGUCUGACUAGUUUUUUGUUACUUUGUGUUCAUAACUUUGUUAAAUAAGACGGAGGGUCAAACGUUGGACACGGAUAUUCACGGCUGCACUUAAU
rfam:Oryza sativa (indica cultivar-group) chromosome 11, whole genome shotgun sequence.